UAGGGAAUCUUCGGCAAUGGACGAAAGUCUGACCGAGCAACGCCGCGUGAGUGAAGAAGGUUUUCGGAUCGUAAAACUCUGUUGUUAGAGAAGAAAAAGGACGUUAGUAACUGAACGUCCCCUGACGGUAUCUAACCAGAAAGCCACGGCUAACUACUUGCCAGCAGCCGCGGUAAUACGUAGGUGGCAAGCGUUGUCCGGAUUUAUUGGGCGUAAAGCGAGCGCAGGCGGUUUCUUAAGUCUGAUUUGAAAGCCCCCGGCUCAACCGGGGAGGGUCAUUGAAAACUGGGAGACUUGAGUGCAGAAGAGGAGAGUGGAAUUCCAUGUGUAGCGGUGAAAUGCGUAAAUAUAUGGAGGAACACCAGUGGCGAAGGCGGCUCUCUGGUCUGUAUCUGACGCUGAGGCUCGAAAGCGUGGGGAGCAAACAGU
rnacentral:rRNA from 1 species